rnacentral:rRNA from 1 species
ACGGAAGGCAGCAGUGGGGAAUAUUGCACAAUGGGGGAAACCCUGAUGCAGCAACGCCGCGUGAAGGAUGAAGGCCCUUGGGUCGUAAACUUCUGUUCUAGGGGAAGAUAGUGACGGUACCUUAGGAGCAAGUCCCGGCUAACUACGUGCCAGCAGCCGCGGUAAUACGUAGGGGGCAAGCGUUAUCCGGAAUUAUUGGGCGUAAAGAGUACGUAGGUGGUUACCUAAGCAAGGGGUUUAAGGCAAUGGCUUAACUAUUGUUCGCCCCUUGAACUGGGCUACUUGAGUGCAGGAGAGGAAAGCGGAAUUCCUAGUGUAGCGGUGAAAUGCGUAGAUAUUAGGAGGAACACCAGUGGCGAAGGCGGCUUUCUGGACUGUAACUGACACUGAGGUACGAAAGCGUGGGGAGCAAACAGGAUUAGAUACCCUGGUA